ACCAAUCGAAGAAAAUCAUUUUCUUCUUCGUUUCUUCUUUUUCGUUUCUCCUCUUGUUCGUUGGUGACUAUUGAUUAAGAGAAUGGGUUGAUGAAACAAUAUAGAUGUUACGGAGAUGGUGUUGUUACAAAUCAUGAUGAAGAAUAAUUAGGGAUUGUUAGGGUUUAUGAUUGAGGUGAUAAAACAGAGAGAAAAGCAGGGUUAGGGUUUCAGAGAGUUGAUGAUGAAUUCAUCUUAAAACGGAUCAACUAAGGAUGGAUUUGAAGAGGAUAAUCUAGACAAGAAGAUUAUCAAGUUAAUUCGAGGGUUCGAUUACGAAGAAGAUCUCAAUUUGAGAAAUUAGUAAACUAGGGUUUGAUUUUCUGAUUUGGGGACAUAGAAGAUCUAAAUAGAAGAUUGGAUUGAGGUUAGAUUCAAGUUUUCAGAUGUGCUUGAAGUGUUUUGAUGGAAUUCAGGUAAAGAAGAAGGAAUAGAAGAUGGCUUUUGCAUGGUGUUGGUAAUGGAAGAAGCUGUUGGGUUGAGGAGAUUGUUAUAGGAGAUGGUUUUGAAUUCUUGAGCUUAGAAGAUAUAAUUGGUCUGUAAGGACGAUCAGUUUCCUUAACUAUUCCAAAUUCAGAGAAAUUGAUCAAUUUUAAGGGGAAAAGUGCUACUGCAUUUUAACAAAAUUGGUUUUGUUGUGGGUCAAUGUCAUCAUGCAUACACUUGGAGCACUUGCACUGGCAACCGAUUCUCCAAGUGAGAAACUAAUGAAGAGAACUCCAGUUGUAAGAACAUGCAAUUUUAUCAGUAUUGUGAUAUGGAGGAACAUCAUGGGGCAAUCUCUUUAUCAAGUUUCUGUAGUUACGAACUCCGGGUCGCAGGAAAAGCAGUAUUCAGUCUUCAUAGGCCUGAACCUGAUCUGGUUCGGAGUACUCUGAUUCUCGACUCUUUCAUAUUCUGUCAGGUUUUCAAUGAAAUAAGUUCAUAGGAGAUGAAAAAGAUUGGCGUUCUUAAAAGAUUGGCCUUCUUAAAAGGCAUAUUGGAGAACUAUGUGUUUGUUGCUGUCCUCGGUUGCACUGUCGUGUUCCAGAUCAUUAUCAUUAAAUUCCUUGGUACUGCAAACACCUCUCCUCUCACUUUAACUCAAUGAUUCUUCAGUGUCUUCAUUGGAUUGCUAUGAAUGCCAAUUGCUGUAGUUGUCAAGAUGACCAGUGACUUGUCUUUUAAUUCUACCCUAAACAUGGGUCUAUGAGAUCCUUCUAGUGAUGUCUUUUUUAGAUGUCUUAGAAUUUUAAUCCAAUUUUAAACUUCUCUGCAA